UGAUGAGGAUGAUAAUGAUAAUGAUAGUGAUGAUGAUGAUGGUAGUCAUGAUGAGGCAAGAAUAAUCAUUUAAAAAUAUCAUCAUCAUCAUCAUCAUCAUCAUCAUCAUCAUAA
rnacentral:miRNA from 1 species